UUUGGAAUUAACGGUGAAUAAAGAAAAGAAGGGAUUUUCUUAAUAUCCAGAUUUGAUUUGAGUUUUGGAGGAAAGGAAGCAUCUGUAGGUCUUAAUAAAAAGAUUCAGAAAUUUUAAAAUGUAAUUUGAAUUUACUGAGUGCUGAAUUUUGUGUUUUAUAUAGUUGGGAUUUUUCUAAGUGCCGCUUCAAUCACUGAAAUGAUAAACAUUGUUUGAGUUUGUUUUAAACUUUCCCCUUCAGGGUGAAAAUCCUUUUGAAAUCAACGAUCAGGCUCAGGAGCAGCAGACAGAAGAGGAAGACAAGGCUGAAGAGCCAGCUGAGGGCGAGGAAGAAGAGGAAGAAGAAGAGGAGGAAGAAACUGAAGAGCAAACUGAUUUUACUUUAGACCACACUGAAGAUAAUUAAAUGCAAGAAAAUGAGAAAAAAAAAAUGGGGGGGAGGGAGGGCAAAACGGCUUUUUAUUUCUGCUCUAAAGUGGCUAGACUUUUUAAUAGUCUCAGAUGAACAUUGUUGAAGACUGCCCACCCUAUGCAUGCAUUCCAUUCUGUGGAGAACUUGUUUAUAUAAUUCCUCUGUGUUUCUGAUUUUUGUUCAAAAUGAAAUUAAGAUUAUUUUAGUUGAGCUUUUUAUAGCAAACUGACUGUUAAAGCUGAUUAAACAUUGUGUUGUAUAUUUUUUUAAGCUUCCUAUUUUUUUGACGUGUGCAUUGAAAGUUGGAUAUAAUAGUUUUUGAUCAAAUCAUUUGGAAGGAUCGUCUAGGGGUAAAUAUUUUAAAUGCUGUUUUAAAUGGCAUAAGCUUAUAUUUACCUCAAUGCAGAAAGAGUAAACUUCAAAAAUUGUGCCGUUGAGUGUGGCUGUUUUGGGAACUGCAUUGCACUCUGUAUAAUAGAAUAUGUGUUAUAAUAUGCCUCAUAGCUUUUUGUGAUAAAAUGUACCGGUUUGUAGAAAUAAAAUAUGUAAGAAAUGUUUGAAGUGUUUAUAGUUAAGUGUCUCAAGGAUUUCCCCUUGCAGGCUACCAAACAAGUUUUGAAUCAAAUCUUAAUUGAUGCUAUGAUUAUUUAGAAGUUAAUCUUACUGUUUGUUGUUUUUGUUUCUUUUUAUGCAUUUGGACUACACCUAGCCUUAUCAUAUUUAGAUGAAAUUAAUAGAAAUAAUGGCAUAAUUUCUUGCUGCCAUCAUGGGGAUUUUAUUCAAAAUCUCAUCAUAUAUGCAGUUUGUGCUCCUUUCUUUUGGAGAAAGUUUGUGUUAAAUUGUAACCAUUGCUGCGUACUUGUGACAAAGCCAGAGAGUGGCAUUUGCUUGCUACUAGUUAGCAUGGCUUGUUUGAAAGACGCCAAGCUUUCAGUUGGUUGAACAGUAUUUCUUGCUUAAGAUAUUUUUAAUUUUAAGCUUUUCUAAGCUUCAGAUAACUAAGUCCACCCUAGAUCUCUUAAAAAUUUGUUCUCCUUUUUAAGAUUAGGAUUAAGAUCCUCAUUUGCGAUACUUCUUAAGAUAUAAUCUCCCUUCUGCCAUAGGAGAUGGUCACUUGGUCGCUCAUCUUUGCGUUCUGUUUGUAGAUCUCUUGUUUUAUACACACACCAUACUAUGUACACACACUACAUAUAGUAUACCUGGUUGCUCCGAAAGUAAUGCCUCCUAUUAAUUUUCCUGGAAGUGACAACAGGUACAAAUAAUUUUUGGAAUGUUUAUUACCCUGAGUGAUACAGUUUAUAAGACUGCAAAUGAUGUGGGAGCAUAGUGGUAUCCUCCCUCCAAGUGAA
rnacentral:lncRNA from 1 species